rnacentral:rRNA from 1 species
UACGUAGGGUGCGAGCGUUGUCCGGAAUUAUUGGGCGUAAAGAGCUCGUAGGCGGUGUGUCACGUCGAUCGUGAAAACCUGGGGCUCAACUCUGGGCGUGCGGUCGAUACGGGCAUCACUUGAGUUCGGCAGGGGAGACUGGAAUUCCUGGUGUAGCGGUGAAAUGCGCAGAUAUCAGGAGGAACACCGGUGGCGAAGGCGGGUCUCUGGGCCGAUACUGACGCUGAGGAGCGAAAGCAUGGGUAGCGAACAGG